UUUACACCAGCAUUGAACGGGAAAGAAGUAAAACCAACAGCUGGGUACUUUGGAGAUCUCACAGCUAUCUCUAGGCAAUGUUUACAAGAUAAAUAUCGACCAUUUGAAAAGUAGAGUUUGUCUGAGCUGUCUUCAGUAAUGGCUGGCCGUGAUCUCAAUGAGAAUAAGAGAAGAGAAGAACAGCGAAUGAGUGCCCCUAUAGUUGCUAAUGUUGCACCAGGCUUCAAACGAAAAGAAUGGACGCUUCUUAUUGACAACUUGUUAUGGACUACAACAGAGCGAAAAGUUCAUGACGUCAUCAGUUCCUUGGGUGUGAUAGAUGUGAUCAAAAUUCUUCGCUAUAGAAAGAACGGCCCAGGCCAACAAUAUGGAUUCCUGGUGCGGUUGGGAAUGGAACUCUCGGCGCAGAUCAUAUUGGAGCGACUUCCUAACAGAAGAAUUGAUAGUCGAUUCCCUCGAGUCAGCAUCGCGGCUGAGACAUUUCGUGAGACAGAUGGCCUUCUCUUACCCCUGCCAGGACACCACCCACCACUAUGUCGACAUUUCAGUUACUCUGGACCAGGUUUCCAUCAAGCAUCAAACCCUUCUCGAAGUGCUUCAACGCCUGGACUUCCAGUUAGAAACCCAUCUCCAGUGGCUGGUCCUUCACAUGCUGGAAAUGAUUAUUAUCCACGACCAGCCCCAAUACGAGCACCAGCUCCAGCACCAGCUCCAGCUCCAGCUCCGGCCCCAGUUCCAGUUCCAGCCCGUGUUGAAGAUCCCAUACCUCCAUUUAACAUCAUAGAAAAUGUAUACGAAAGACCGUCACUUUACAGGUUUAAUGCAGGUCCUGUAGAUGAUCUGUUUGAGCAAAAUAGACAAGUGACUGGAGGAGCUAUCCGACAAGCUAUUGAAGAUCAUGCGUCAGUUCAGCACAUGUCUAGUGGACUUCUGUUUGAUCUUCACCAGGGGAUUUUUACAGCGCCAUAGAAACUUUGACUAGCGCCAUCACCGUUAUAAAACAAUCUCAAAUUGGAGAUGACUCCAGGUGCAAAGUCCUUAUUGAUAACUUAAAGUUCAGGAUUCAGUGUGUCAGAGGGAAAAAACUUCAGAAGAAACAUUUGAAGUCCACUGCUAGACCAGUGUAAGGUCAUGGAGAGAAGCCUUGGCCUUCAAAGCAAUCCCUUGCGCUCUGAUCUGUCUUAAUGUUGGCAUUUAAAAGUAUUAGUCCUUUCAUGAUUUUAUUAUAUCCUAAUAGAAUGUCACUCUACAUGUAAGAGGGAUUUAGUCUGUCUUAUUAUUAACAGCACACUUUGGUUCAUAUUCUCUUAUGAUAGCAAUGUUCUCUAUCAAAAAUAUUUUUAUAAACAUUUUACAUAAUUUUUUGAUAAUUAUCUUUUUACAAAGUGUUGAUAAUGUUUCAACCUAGAAAUGAUGUUUUACUCUAGAGUUGAUAAUGUUGAACACUUGUGUAUACACUCAAUUGCAACGUUUUAUAAAAAGUUUACAAUAAAGAUAUUUUCUUUUAUACUCGUA